UCCUGACUGACCGAUAGUGAACCAGUACCGUGAGGGAAAGGCGAAAAGAACCCCGGCGAGGGGAGUGAAAAAGAACCUGAAACCGUGUACGUACAAGCAGUGGGAGCACGCUUAGGCGUGUGACUGCGUACCUUUUGUAUAAUGGGUCAGCGACUUAUAUUCUGUAGCAAGGUUAACCGAAUAGGGGAGCCGAAGGGAAACCGAGUCUUAACUGGGCGUUAAGUUGCAGGGUAUAGACCCGAAACCCGGUGAUCUAGCCAUGGGCAGGUUGAAGGUUGGGUAACACUAACUGGAGGACCGAACCGACUAAUGUUGAAAAAUUAGCGGAUGACUUGUGGCUGGGGGUGAAAGGCCAAUCAAACCGGGAGAUAGCUGGUUCUCCCCGAAAGCUAUUUAGGUAGCGCCUCGUGAAUUCAUCUCCGGGGGUAGAGCACUGUUUCGGCAAGGGGGUCAUCCCGACUUACCAACCCGAUGCAAACUGCGAAUACCGGAGAAUGUUAUCACGGGAGACACACGGCGGGUGCUAACGUCCGUCGUGAAGAGGGAAACAACCCAGACCGCCAGCUAAGGUCCCAAAGUCAUGGUUAAGUGGGAAACGAUGUGGGAAGGCCCAGACAGCCAGGAUGUUGGCUUAGAAGCAGCC
rnacentral:rRNA from 1 species